rnacentral:lncRNA from 1 species
UGGGGAGGAGGGAGAAUAGGGGAACCAGGAGGAGGAAGGAAGGAAGGCGUUUGCAUUAGCCCAUCCUCCUGAGGCUUUGCAGUUGGGAACGAGGGGGAAGCUAAGCCUCCCCCCACCAGCCCGUGUCCACAGGUUGAACUGGUAAUAUACUGCCAAUAUGUUCUGAUUUGGAAAACUUACAUGAAAUCCAGAUUUCCAGCUUUCUGGGCAAGCCUUGCCCCUCCGACUGUGGUGCCCCAGCUGUCAGUGGCCACCCCUCAGCUGUUUGCCCUUGUAACUCUUGACUUAAUGUAACAAUGGAGUCCCUUGUUCACCCCCCCCCACUCCAACUGUGUGCAGUAAAGACCCCAGAUCCCCUUAAAGGGUCAAGUGUCCCUAUUGUAGGAAGCAGUUGCUGUGCCCCACCCUGGCAUCAUUAGUCCCCCAGUAAAGCCUGUCUGAUGCUGGCCACUCUCCAGCCCUCAGCUGUCCCUGAAAACAGCCGCUUUAGCUGUGUGUUUUCCUGUAGUGCUACGCGCCAGAAGCCCUGGCCGCCUAGUUCUGUGUUUCGAUGUGUAGAUAAUGCUUUGCCCUGCACAGCACUUUGCACCCUCUUGUUCGUGUGUGUGUGUGUGUGUGUGUGUGUGUGUGUGUGUGUGUGUGUGUUUUCAACUUUCUAUCCCCAGGAAGUGACCAGUUCGUGGUACCUGGACCUUUUAGGAUGUAACAGAAGUUCUGACCAGCCUCACACCCAGACCGAACUGUCCAGCUCCUCAGUGGGGACAUACAGAAACUGCAGGGGGCAUGGGUACCUCUUUGUACUCAGAGGCAGCCCCACUCCUUGCUUCCCAGGACCAGGGAUGAUGACGGGACAGAUGGAGAAGCAGGCCAGGGGAGCCUUCGGCUGGAGAGGAAACCCCACUUCAUGGUGGCUGAUGGACUUGGGGUGUGGUGGCUGGGGAGGGCCCCACAUGUCACUUCCCCUUGCAUAGUUACAGGUACCUGUCCUCGUGUGCUGUGUGAUCCGGGAUCCUCAAAUGAAGCAAUGAAGCAUCUUAGUUGUUGAUUUUUC